UCAAAAAAAUGAAAAGAAAAGAAAAUACCUCCAUGGGGCCUUCUCUUCCCAGUUCUUCCUGGAGUCGGGGAAAAGCUGGGUUGAGAAGGUGAAAAGAAAAAACAAACCUUGA
rnacentral:pre_miRNA from 1 species